rnacentral:rRNA from 1 species
UAAGACAGAGGAGGCAAGCGUUGUUCGGAAUUACUGGGCUUAAAGCGCGCGUAGGCGGCUUCGCAAGUGUCUUGUGAAAUCCCUCGGCUCAACCGAGGAACUGCUGGGCAAACUGCGAGGCUUGAGGUCGGUAGAGGUGCCUGGAACUCUAGGUGGAGCGGUGAAAUGCGUAGAUAUCUAGAGGAACGCCUGAGGCGAAAGCGGGGCACUGGGCCGAUUCUGACGCUGUGGCGCGAAAGCGUGGGGAGCAAACAGGAUUAGAUACCCUGGUAGUCCACGCUGUAAACGAUGCAUACUAGGUUCGGGUGUCUCUGACGGCUCCCGAGCCGAAACAAAAGCGAUAAGUAUGCCGCCUGGGGAGUACGGCCGCAAGGCUA